CGCCUCUACGGUACCGAACAGAACUUUGCUGCCUCUUUGCCUGAUUGGAAAUCAUUGAUAUUGAGUGUUUCCCACAGUCUGCAUAAGAUAAUACGUGAGUUUCCUUUCUCCAGAAAUCUAGACAGCAACCUUCCUGACCAAGAAGUUUACAGGACUGCCGCUUUGUUGGUGAGGAGGAAACUGAAGCAGUUAUCCAUUACCAGUGCCACAUUCCUUUUCCUAUACAUAAACAAUCACUGAAUGAUGAAAUUAGAAAUACGAAAUACAGAUUAUGGAG
ensembl:lncRNA